CUUGUGCUGUCAAGGCCAAGCAGCCGGUGUAAAGAGGUUGGAGCCAAAAGCUGACUCAGUACAUGUUUGUUUGAUUUGAAUGAAAACUUGAUUUAUAGCAGGGAUCAUGAAGGUCGAGGCGAGACAUGGAGGGAAUGACAUGGGAGCAGGACUCACUCACUAUUAAAUGCUGAAGCAAAGCUACAGAGAGGGGCGUUUCUCCAGGAUUGCGGUGGAGUGAGGAAAGAACAACAUGUCUGAGUUCCCCUGGACGUGGCCCUGUUUUCCCGGAGCAGAUCCUUAGUUUUGAAUGAUUGGAGAGUGGCUAUAGCGAGCAGUGAGUGAGCGAAGAGAAGCUUUCCCUGUCCUCCCCACCUUGGAUUUCCUGGAGCCUGGACCCCGUCACACUUGUAUAUAGCACAAUUCCCUGCACUGUCUGUACACAUACCUGGUGUAAUAAACUAUUUCUCCUCAAAGUGAA